AGGACGAACGCUGGCGGCGUGCUUAACACAUGCAAGUCGAACGGUGAACCGGGCUUCGGCCCGGGGAUCAGUGGCGAACGGGUGCGUAACACGUGGGCAACCUGCCCCAGACACUGGGAUAACUCCGGGAAACCGGGGCUAAUACCGGAUACUCCGGUCGAACCUCAUGGUUCGAUCGGGAAAGCUCCGACGGUCUGGGAUGGGCCCGCGGCCUAUCAGCUUGUUGGCGAGGUAACGGCUCACCAAGGCGACGACGGGUAGCUGGUCUGAGAGGACGACCAGCCACACUGGAACUGAGAUACGGUCCAGACUCCUACGGGAGGCAGCAGUGGGGAACCUUGCACAAUGGGCGAAAGCCUGAUGCAGCGACGCCGCGUGGGGGACGAAUGCCUUCGGGUUGUAAACCCCUUUCGGCAGGGAAGAAGCGCAAGUGACGGUACCUGCAGAAGAAGUCCCGGCUAACUACGUGCCAGCAGCCGC
rnacentral:rRNA from 1 species